UCGAGAAUAAUUCACAAUGGACGAAAGUCUGAUGGUGCAACGCCGCGUGGAGGAUGACGGUCUUCGGAUUGUAAACUCCUGUCAUCUGGGAGAAAGACCUGGGAGUUAAUAGCUCACAGGGUUGAUAGUACCAGAAGAGGAAGGGACGGCUAACUUCGUGCCAGCAGCCGCGGUAAUACGAAGGUCCCGAGCGUUGUUCGGAAUCACUGGGCGUAAAGGGAGCGUAGGCGGCGCAGUAAGUCGGAUGUGAAAUCCCGGGGCUCAACCCCGGAACUGCAUCUGAUACUGCUGUGCUAGAGUAAUGGAGGGGUAGCUGGAAUUCUCGGUGUAGCAGUGAAAUGCGUAGAUAUCGAGAGGAACACUCGUGGCGAAAGCGAGCUACUGGACAUUUACUGACGCUGAGGCUCGAAGGCCAGGGUAGCGAAAG
rnacentral:rRNA from 1 species